GAUGAACGCUGGCGGCGUGCCUAAUACAUGCAAGUCGAGCGAAGCGGGGACGGGUGAGUAACACGUGGAUAAACUCCUAUACGAAUGGGCUAAAUUCGGGAAACAGGAGCUAAACCGGCUACUUAGAGAUGGUUGCGCGCUGGAUUAGCUAGUUGGUAGGGUAACGGCGUACCAAGGCAACGAUGCAUAGCCGACCUGAGGGGGUGAUCGGCCACACUGGAACUGGGACACGGUCCAGACUCCUACGGGAGUCAGCAGUAGGGAAUCUUCCGCAAUGGGCGAAAGCCUGACGGAGCAACGCCGCGUGAGUGAUGAAGGUCUUCGGAUCGUAAAACUCUGUUAGUAGGGAAGCGGUACCUAAUCAGAAAGCCACGGCUAACUACGUGCCAGCCGCCGCGGUAAUAC
rnacentral:rRNA from 1 species